rnacentral:rRNA from 1 species
CUACUUGAUCCUUCGGGUGAUGGUGGCGGACGGGUGAGUAACGCGUAAAGAACUUGCCCUGCAGUCUGGGACAACAUUUGGAAACGAAUGCUAAUACCGGAUAUUAUGUGAGUUUCGCAUGAAAUUCAUAUGAAAGCUAUAUGCGCUGCAGGAGAGCUUUGCGUCCUAUUAGCUAGUUGGUGAGGUAACGGCUCACCAAGGCGAUGAUAGGUAGCCGGCCUGAGAGGGUGAACGGCCACAAGGGGACUGAGACACGGCCCUUACUCCUACGGGAGGCAGCAGUGGGGAAUAUUGGACAAUGGACCAAAAGUCUGAUCCAGCAAUUCUGUGUGCACGAUGAAGUUUUUCGGAAUGUAAAGUGCUUUCAGUUGGGACGAAGUAAGUGACGGUACCAACAGAAGAAGCGACGGCUAAAUACGUGCCAGCAGCCGCGGUAAUACGUAUGUCGCAAGCGUUAUCCGGAUUUAUUGGGCGUAAAGCGCGUCUAGGCGGUUUGGUAAGUCUGAUGUGAAAAUGCGGGGCUCAACUCCGUAUUGCGUUGGAAACUGCCAAACUAGAGUACUGGAGAGGUGGGCGGAACUACAAGUGUAGAGGUGAAAUUCGUAGAUAUUUGUAGGAAUGCCGAUGGGGAAGCCAGCCCACUGGACAGAUACUGACGCUAAAGCGCGAAAGCGUGGGUAGCAAACAGGAUUAGAUACCCUGGUAGUCCACGCCGUAAACGAUGAUUACUAGGUGUUGGGGGUCGAACCUCAGCGCCCAAGCUAACGCGAUAAGUAAUCCGCCUGGGGAGUACGU